UUGUCAUUAAUUGCCAUCAUUCAGUUGGGCACUUUAAUGAGACUGCCGGUGACAAACCGGAGGAAGGUGGGGAUGACGUCAAGUCCUCAUGGCCCUUAUGGGUAGGGCUUCACACGUAAUACAAUGGUCGGUACAGAGGGUAGCCAACCCGCGAGGGGGAGCCAAUCCCAGAAAGGCGAUCGUAGUCCGGAUUGGAGUGCGCAACUAGACUCCAUGAAGUCGGAAUCGCUAGUAAUCGCGGAUCAGCAUGUCGCGGUGAAUACGUUCCCGGGCCUU
rnacentral:rRNA from 1 species